GACGUAGGGGGCGAGCGUUGUCCGGAUUUAUUGGGCGUAAAGAGCGCGUAGGCGGCCCGUUAAGUCGGAUGUGAAAACCCGUGGCUCAACCACGGGCCUGCAUCCGAUACUGGCGGGCUCGAGGCAGGCAGGGGAGAUCGGAAUUCCUGGUGUAGCGGUGAAAUGCGCAGAUAUCGGGAGGAACACCAAUGGCGAAGGCAGCUCGCUGGGACGUUACUGACGCUGAGACGCGAAAGCGUGGGGAGCAAACAGG
rnacentral:rRNA from 1 species